CCCACAACAGCCAGGAAGCCCUCCCCAGUGACAUGCAUCGCCCUGUGGAGUCACAGCUGGCUUACAAUCACCUCCCCCACACUGGAGUGUUCUGAGGGCUGACAAGGCGUAUUUGGUGUCUUGGCACACUCACUGCAUAGCAUGGAGGAAGCGAUCCCUAAAUAUCUGUGGAAUCAAUGAGUAGUACAGGCUGCAAUUACACCCUUCACUCAACAGACUCUACCCACUGCGAGUGACCACGGCCAAAUGGAACUCUGGCAGACAGUUUUCCGAAGCGCCACUAAGUCCUCAACAGCUACGGAGAGCUACAAGCAUCAUUGUGCAUCUGCGACAACUGAUCCAUGUUUUAUCACCUUCUUUGCUCUUGUACUAAGUCUUCGGCCUAAAAGGAAUGAACAUUAUGUUUCUUGCUCUUAUCCAUCAAGGUUCAGAGAAACAAACCACUUAAUGCCACAAAAAGAUAACACUCCAAGAUGGUAACAGAUAUUAAGAGCAAAAGUGAAGCAUUUUACUCUGUAGAGGAGUAGAAGUUGGGAUGUUGCUACUGAUUCACCUGGGAUACAUCACUUUAUGUCACUUUAUGACACUUCCCCUUCUACAAUAUAGUGACUCGGGUCUUGAAAAAGAUGGUUAAAUUGAGCCAAAAUAUCCUCUAUAUUUCUACAAGUUAUAGGAGUCUAAACGUCAAUGCUUUCUAUGUCAGUAGUUACUGCUUCUUCAUACUCCUUCCACCUUGGCCAUGAAGAAAAGAUACCAGUGGCUACUGUCCCUAGAUGGCAUUGGAGAAGCCAAGGAGAAAGAAGUUUCUGGAGAGUGGAACAAGCAGAAGAGGACUGGAGAUAAUGAGACUCAUUAAGGGAAAAUGUAUUAGAAACUAUUAAUGUGCCAUGAAAAUACUACUUAUAGUUGUGAUGAUGAUGAUGAUGAUGAUGAUGAAUAGUCUAUGAAUAA